rnacentral:lncRNA from 1 species
AUGGCCCCGCUGCCGCCCCUCCCCCACCCGCUUUUGGGGCGAUUUCCCGGGAAUUUGGGGAGGCCCCGCCCCCUUUGGGUGGGGAAGGGGGCGGGGCCAAAGCCGGAAAGGAGGAGCCAAAAAAAUUCGGGAAUUUUGGGGGUGAAAAAUCGGGAAUUUGGGGGUUUCAAAAAAUGGGAAUUUUUAGGGGGAAAUUUGCGGAUUUUGAGGGAACAUUUGGGAAUUUUGUGGGGAAAUUGGGGGCGGGGAAUGAGAAAAUUGGGAUUUUUCACGAAAUUAUGGAAUUUUGGUGAGAAAAUUGGGGAUUUUGGGGGAAAUUUGGGGGAAAAUGGGGAAUUUUGGGGGAAAAAAAUCGGGAUUUUUGGGAAAAUCAAAGAGAAGAGUUGGGAGUCCUCCGAGCGGGGCAGAGCGGCUCCAACCGGAAGUGGCAUCAAAGGGAAAGCCUGGAUGGCGGCGCGGACCGGAAGUUACCAUAGAGACGCUGAGGGCUCGUUACGCGUAACGGGAGCCGCUGCUCAAAACGCUGAAGGAGAAAAAAGACGACCCAAAAAAGCCCCAAAAAGGAGAAAUCGUGGCGCAAUCGUGACGCAACGGUGACGUCAAACCGGAUUUAGAGACAGUUUUGGGUUUAAAUUCGCGUUUUUUGGGACUUUUCGCGUCCAGCUGGCUGCGGUUUUCCCGCCUACUUCCGCUUGGUGUCGCUUCUAUUCCCUCCCCCCCGCGCUCACUUCCGGUGCCGCCCGCGGUGAGUCCCCCACCGGCCGUUUUUCACCGUUUUUUCACCGAUUUUCCCCAUUUUUUUUGCACCGGUGUCCACUCUGUGGCCGGACAAUGCCCCAACCCCUCCGGCCACGUCCGGCCGAGCGCGUCCGGCAGCGCUGGCGGCGUUUGCGGCGGGCGGCGCGGGCGCUGGUGCUGGAGAACGCGGCCCUGUGCGACGAGCUGGCCCGGCUGGAGGCCAAGUGGACACUGGCCAGGGGUCAGCGGCGAUUCCUGCUCGGACGCCUGCUCGGACAUCGCAGUGGUCACUCGGCCCCUCCGGCCGCGGCCACAGAGGUCAAGCGGCCAAAGAGGGCGCGGCCGGCCGGGGGGCGGGGCCGGGGAGGGAGGGGCGGGGCCAGGGAGGAGCAGUGGUCAGUUGGGGAGAAGAGUGACCAGUGGUCAGCGGGAUCGAAGGGUGACCAGUGGUCAGCAAACUCCAAAAAUGACCAAUGGUCAGCGGGAUCGAAGAGUGACCAAUGGUCAGCAAACUCCAAGAGUGACCAGUGGUCAGCAAGCUCCAAAAAUGACCAGUGGUCAGCAAGCUCCAAGAGUGACCAGUGGUCAGCAAGCUCCAAGAGUGAUCAGUGGUCAGCAGGCCCCAAGGAUGACCAGUGGUCAGCAGGCCCCAAGGAUGACCAGUGGUCAGUGGCCGUGAAGAAGGAGCAGUGGUCACCCGGAUCGAAGAGUGACCAGUGGUCAGCAAGCUCAAAAAAUGACCAGUGGUCAGCGGGGCCGAAGAGUGACCAGUGGUCAGCUGGAGGAAGAGCUGGGAUGAAGGACGAGCAGUGGUCAGCGGGGCCGAAGAGUGACCAGUGGUCAGCAGGGCCCAAGGAUGACCAGUGGUCAGCGGAGGUCAAGCAGGAGCAGUGGUCACCCGACGCCAAGAGUGACCAGUGGUCAGCGGGGGUGAAGAUCGAGCAGUGGUCACCCAGCUCCAAGAAUGACCAGUGGUCAGCGGAGGUGAAGAGUGACCAGUGGUCAGCAGAGGUCAAACAGGAGCAGUGGUCACCCAGCUCCAAGAGUGACCAGUGGUCAGCGGGGCCCAAGGAUGACCAGUGGUCAGCGGAGGUCAAGAUCGAGCAGUGGUCACCCGGAUCGAAGAGUGACCAGUGGUCAGCAGAAUCCAAGAAUGACCAGUGGUCAGCAGAAUCCAAGAAUGACCAGUGGUCAGUCGGCUCCAAGAAUGACCAGUGGUCAUCAGCAAGACCAAGACCCGGCUCCAAGGAUGACCAGUGGUCAGUCGGCUCCAAGGAUGACCAGUGGUCAAGCGGGCUCCGGCCGGGAGAUGACCACAAGGGCAGCGCUGACCGCUCGGGGCGGCCGGAGGAGGAGGAGGAGGACGAGGAUGACCACGAGGAUGACCACGAUGACCACGAGGAUGACCACGAGGAUGACCACGAGGAUGACCACGAUGACCACGAGGAUGACCACUGAUCAUUGGUCAUUUCUUGCUCACUCCCACUGACCCCCUGACCAUUCUGAGUGACCACUGACUGCCCUGAGUGACCACUGACUGCCCUGAGUGACCACUGACUGCCAUGAGUGACCACUGACCGCCAUGAGUGACCAAUGACCACCCCAAUGACCACUGACUGUCCUGAAUAACCACUGACCAUUGGGAGUGACCACUGACCGCCCUGAGUGACCACUGACCACCCUGAGUGACCACUGACCGCCCUGAGUGACCAAUGACCACCCCAAUGACCACUGACCAUCCCACUGACCAUUGGUCACUCCUUGGCCACCCCACUGACCCCUUGACCACCCUGAGUGACCACUGACCACCCCACUGACCCCCUGACCACUCCCAAUGACCACUGACCAUUGGUCACUCCUUGACCAUUUCCACUGACCACUGACCACCCACUGACCACCCCAAUGACCACUGACCACCUUUUGUCCACCCUGAAUGACCACUGACCACCCCCACUGACCCUUGGUCACUCCUUGACCACUCCCUAUGACCACUGACCAUUCCCACUGACCAAUGACCACCGCAAUGACCCCUUGACCAUCCCAAUGACCACUGACCACUCUGAGCGACCACUGACCACCCCACUGACCACCUGCCCACCCCGAAUGACCACUCCAAAUGACCACUGACCACUUGACCACACCUUUAUUGAUGUUCCUCCGUCGUGGCCGGAGCCGUGUCCGGAGCCGAGUGACCGCCGGGAGUGACCGCAGGGAUGUCCUGCACGUUGUGGACGAUGGCGUGGACGUCCGGCCACUCGGCCAGAGCCCGCAGCAGCCGCUCGGCCGCGGCCCUCGGACCGUCCGGCAGGGCCAGCGCUGACCGCGGCCGGAACUCGACCGCGGCCGCAAUCGGCCGGAGCCCUGCGGCCACCAGGCCCUGCCGGACACUGCCCAGGGCCGAGGGCGCGCACAGGAACUGCGGACAGGGCAAAGGGCAAAGGUCAGCGGGCACUCGGGG